CUCUCUCUCUCUCUCUCUCUCUCUCUACAAACUAAGCCAUUUUUUUGUUGUAUCUCUCUUUCUCUCUGGUCCCCUGUAUAUACCAAGAAACAGAGCAUCAACAUGGCUGCCAACAAAUUUGCAACCAUGUUGCAUAGAAACAGCAACAAAUUGACUGUCAUUCUCAUCUACGCAGUCCUUGAAUGGAUUCUGAUAGUUCUUCUCCUCCUCAACUCUCUAUUUUCUUAUCUGAUUAUCAGAUUUGCAGAUUACUUUGGUCUCAAAACACCCUGCCUCUGGUGUUCUCGUCUCGAUCACAUCUUCGAGCCUGGAAAGAACAAGAAUUCACACAGAGAUCUUCUCUGUGAAGCUCAUGCCGCAGAGAUUUCCAAAUUGGGUUAUUGCUCUAAUCAUCGGAAAUUGGCUGAAUCGCAAGAAAUGUGUGAGGAUUGCUCAUCCUCGAGACCGGACUAUCGUGGGGCUUCGAAGAAUUUAAGUUUCUUUCCAUGGGUUAAAGAGAUUGGAAUGAUAGAGAAUGAAGGAGAUAAGGUCAGUGAUGAGAAUGGUGAUGUGGGCUUCAAGUGUUCUUGUUGUGGUGUGAAUUUUCAUAGCAAAAUUUACUCUCCUUAUAUUGUGAUUAAGCCUUCUUGGGGUGUUUUGGAGUAUACCCAGAAAGUAGAUUUGAAUGAUGACGACGAUCAGAUUGAAGAAGGUGAUAAUUCGGAUCGAAGCGGAUCAGAUUUUGUGAUCGAUCGAUGCCAAGAUGAUCAUGCGAUUGAGGAAAACGAUGAAAGUCAGAUGCUUUGUGGUGUGAGAGAUCAUGAGGAAGAUGUGGAUUGCUCUGUUUCUGUAUCAAACUCUGGAUUGGGAGAAUUGGAUGGCGAUGAAAUUGACAGAGUAGUUAUGGCUUUGGAAUCUGAGAAAGAACCCAUUAAGGAAGACAAUUCAGUUGUGAUAAUGGAGGAUCCGUCUUCUGGUGAGGCCCUGAAUCAGAUUUUUACCAGAGAAGAUGAAUCUGUUGAAAUUCCUCCUCAGCAUCUGGAAUUCUUUGUUGGUCAUGGUGGUUAUCGGUUGAUUCCAGUUGAAUUGAUCGAUUCGACAAUGGAGGAAAAUCGGAGUACGUACAGAAGUAAGGAAGAAGAUGAUGUGAAUUUUGACAAUCGAGAAGAGAAUUUGGAAUCCGAGUCACGCGAUGAAGCACGAGUUGAAUCAGUUGGUGAGAACUUGAAUAGGUCCAGAUUAGGAGAAAGAGAGGCAGAACUCUCUGCCAAUGAGAUGGAAGAGGAAGCCAAAUUUGCAGUGUUUGAAUCCAUGGAAAUAGAAGAGAAUGAUAAUUCUCUUAUAUUUCAUGCCAAAGAAUGUGAUUUUGUGAGGGAGGUAUAUGAACAUGUUGAAGCAGAUGCAGAAGAAAGGGAUUCAGAUGUUCCUCCAGUCACAGAAGAAGUGUUUCAAAUGCCAGUCAAUGAAAUUGAAGCAGAGGUGUCAAUAGGAACUGAAAUUCCUGAUCUAGAACCAACAGAUGAGAUUCAAAAUCAAGAAAUCCUUUGCAUAAAUGAAGAUCCUUCUAUCAGUUCGGCUGUUUUCCAGAUGGAUGAAAGUCAAGGUUCUAAGCAAGCUGAGGAAGAGUCAGUUGAGUUGAAAACAAUAUCAAUUGAGGUGAGAGAGAUUGUGAUGAACAAUGAAAUUUCUCUUGGUUCAGAGCUUAAUGAGAUUGAGGAAGAGAAAGUUCCCGAUACACCCACUUCGAUAGAAAAUCUCCAUCACUUGCACAAGAAAUUGUUACUCCUCGAGAAAAGAGAAUUGGGUACUGAAGAGUCUUUGGAUGGAAGUGUCAUAAGCGAGUUUGAGAGUGGUGACGGAGUUACGAGUAUUGAACACUUGAAAUCGGCAUUAAGAUCUGAGAGAAAAGCUUUGCAUGCUUUAUACGCGGAACUUGAAGAGGAGAGAAGUUCCUCUGCAGUUGCAGCUAGCCAGACUAUGGCGAUGAUCAAUAGGCUUCAAGAAGAGAAGGCUGCAAUGCAAAUGGAAGCUUUGCAGUACCAGAGAAUGAUGGAAGAACAGUCCGAGUACGAUCAAGAAGCUUUGCAGCUUUUGAAUGAGCUCAUGGUGAAGAGAGAAAAGGAAAAGCAAGAGCUAGAGAAAGGAUUGGAAGUGUAUAGAAAGAAGGUUUUGGAGUACGAGGGCAAAGAGAAGAUGAGAAUGUUGAGAAAAAGCAAGGAUUGUAUCGCAAGAAGUGAAAGUUGCUCUGCUUCUUCUAGCAGUGUUGGGGAUAGUGAUGGGCUAUCUAUUGACUUAAAUCAAGAGGCAAAAGAGGAAGAUAGGUUUGAUCGAGAAAAUGGAAACCACAACACGCCAAUUGAUGAAGUUUUGAAUUUGGAAGAAUCAUUGGCUAACUUUGAGGAAGAGAGGUUGUCUAUUCUAGAGCGACUCAAGGUUUUGGAAGAGAAGCUUUUUACAUUGUCUGAUGAAGAGGAACAACAUUUUGAGGACAUAAAGCCAAUUGAGCAUUUCUACGAAGAGAAUGGAAACGGGGACUUGGGUUUUGGUGGUGAAGGAGUAAAUGGGAUUGCAAAUGCAAAUGGUUUUUCCAAGCAAAUGAAUGGGAAACAUCAUAUCAUGGGUGCAAAGGGAAAGACCCUUCUACCACUUUUUGAUGCGAUUAGUACAGAAAAUGGAGACACUUUUGUAGAGAAUGGACAUGUAAAUGGGUAUGAUUAUGAUAUCUUGAAAAGUCCUUGUGUGAAAAGAAACGAGUUGGAGAACAAGAAGCUUGUUGAAGAGGAGGUGGAUCAUCUCUAUGAGAGGUUACAAGCUCUUGAGGCAGACAGAGAAUUCCUAAAGCAUUGCAUGAGCUCCUUGAAGAAGGGGGACAAGGGAAUGGAUCUUCUUCAAGAGAUUUUACAACAUCUUCGCGAUCUAAGGAAUGUGGAGCUCCGGCUGAGGAAUUUUGGCGAUACUGCUCAAGUAUGACAUAUAUUGUGCACAACCAUCAUGUCCCAGCAAGAAAAUAGUUUGUGUUCUUGGAAUGUGGUCUUAAUACAGAAGAACACAAAGACCGCGAUGAUCAAAUGAAAAAAAAAUGAUAAUUUUGAGUCUUGAAGAAAGGUAGUCCCUUGAUGGAGAGGGAAGCUCCUGAUGCAUGUUUUGGUCAUCUUGGUGGACUAUAAAUUGGAAGUCUACCCAACUUUGUUUUUUGUUUUUUUUUGUUUUUUUUGUUUUUUUUCUUCUGGUUUUUUGUGCCCAAAUUUUUGUGGGUUAGUGUCCAUCUAUGCCUUUUGAGGGAAAGGAGGAUGAUGAGUGUAUGUGUGUGUAGGUUAGUGAAGUGAAGCCACCCUGUCAUUUGUAUGUUUUGACUUGUGAGACGAACAAAAAAUGCCUGGCUUGCAAAGCUGGUGCGAUCCAACAAAGAUUCCAGUGCCAGGUACAUAGCCCUAGUUUAUUAAUUAUUAGACAGUUAGGACUAGGAAAAUCUUUAAUUACUUAUUUUUUUCACAUUUUAUUUUUAUUUUUGGAGAAUGAUAAAGGGUGGCUUAGUCUACUGGUAAAACUUUCCGUUAGCGUUCUUGGUGCACGGGUUCAAGUCACAGAAAUAAUCUCUCGGUAAAUUUGUGUAAUGUUGCGUAUAUCUACCUUUCUCAAUCCUACGUUAACGGGAGUUUUGUGUACUGGGUGGUCUUUAGUUUUCUUAAAUUUUUUUUUUUUUUGGAGAAGGAAAAGAAAGGGCAAGUAACUUCUCUUUUUCCAUCUCAUCCCUGCAUAUCAUUUCAUCACAUGAGGUUUGUUUAUUAUUUUGAAGGAGCAAAGUUGGAUCAGUUGUAUACUACAUGUACCCAUUUGUAAAGUAUAUAAAGUGGAGUGUUUGUUUAUA